GGGGGGAGGCCGGAUCCUGGGCCGUGUCCCCGGCACCCUGUGCUCCGGAGCCUGCGCAGUUGGAAUCACACUCCCGUCUGCGCAGCCCCUC
rnacentral:pre_miRNA from 1 species